rnacentral:rRNA from 1 species
CAGAGGUUACUGCUAUUGGUGUUCGACUAAGCCAUGCAAGUCAUAUGUUCCUCGUGAACAUGGCAUACUGCUCAGUAACACGUGGAUAACCUGCCCUUGGGUCUGGGAUAACCCCGGGAAACUGGGGAUAAUACCGGAUAACGCAUAUGUGCUGGAAUGCUUUAUGCGUAAAACGGAUUCGUCCGCCCAAGGAUGGGUCUGCGGCCUAUCAGGUAGUAGUGGGUGUAAUGUACCUACUAGCCAACAACGGGUACGGGUUGUGAGAGCAAGAGCCCGGAGAUGGAUUCUGAGACAUGAAUCCAGGCCCUACGGGGCGCAGCAGGCGCGAAAACUUUACAAUGCGGGAAACCGUGAUAAGGGAACACCGAGUGCCAGCAUCAUAUGCUGGCUGUCCAGAUGUGUAAACUACAUCUGUUAGCAAGGGCCGGGCAAGACCGGUGCCAGCCGCCGCGGUAACACCGGCGGCCCGAGUGGUGACCGUUAUUAUUGGGUCUAAAGGGUCCGUAGCCGGUUUGGUCAGUCCUCCGGGAAAUCUGAUAGCUUAACUGUUAGGCUUUCGGGGGAUACUGCCAGGCUUGGAACCGGGAGAGGUAAGAGGUACUACAGGGGUAGGAGUGAAAUCUUGUAAUCCCUGUGAGACCACCUGUGGCGAAGGCGUCUUACCAGAACGGGUUCGACGGUGAGGGACGAAAGCUGGGGGCACGAACCGGAUUAGAUACCCGGGUAGUCCCAGCCGUAAACUAUGCUCGCUAGGUGUCAGGCAUGGCGCGACCGUGUCUGGUGCCGCAGGGAAGCCGUGAAGCGAGCCACCUGGGAAGUACGGCCGCAAGGCUGAAACUUAAAGGAAUUGGCGGGGGAGCACAACAACGGGUGGAGCCUGCGGUUUAAUUGGACUCAACGCCGGACAACUCACCGGGAACGACAGCAAUAUGUAGGCCAGGCUGAAGACCUUGCCUGAAUCGCUGAGAGGAGGUGCAUGGCCGUCGCCAGUUCGUACUGUGAAGCAUCC